UACGGAAGGUCCGGGCGUUAUCCGGAUUUAUUGGGUUUAAAGGGAGCGUAGGCCGGAGAUUAAGCGUGUUGUGAAAUGUAGACGCUCAACGUCUGCACUGCAGCGCGAACUGGUUUCCUUGAGUACGCACAAAGUGGGCGGAAUUCGUGGUGUAGCGGUGAAAUGCUUAGAUAUCACGAAGAACUCCGAUUGCGAAGGCAGCUCACUGGAGCGCAACUGACGCUGUAUCUCGAAAGUGCGGGUAUCUAACAGGAUUAGAAACCCUUG
rnacentral:rRNA from 1 species